UACGAAGGGGGCUAGCGUUGCUCGGAAUUACUGGGCGUAAAGCGCACGUAGGCGGUCUUUUAAGUCGGGGGUGAAAUCCUGGAGCUCAACUCCAGAACUGCCUUCGAUACUGGAAGACUUGAGUCCGGGAGAGGUGAGUGGAACUGCGAGUGUAGAGGUGAAAUUCGUAGAUAUCGGGAGGAACACCUGUGGCGAAGGCGGCCACCUGGACGACAACGUGACGCUGAGACGCGAAAGCGU
rnacentral:rRNA from 1 species